rnacentral:tRNA from 1 species
GGCCCUUUGGCGGAAUAGGUAGACGCACAGGUUUCAAAAACCUGCGCCUUCACGGGCAUCCGAGUUCGAUUCUCGGAGGGGCCACCA